GGCCGGUUACGCAGAAUAAGAGAUUUAUCCGUUCGUGGUUAAAGUGGACGCGUCAUUCCAAAUUACUUGGAGAAGCGUUAGUCAUUUUCGCGUGCGAAACGUCAGCCAAGUCAGUCUGUUAGGCAGGCAGGAAGGAAGUGGUGAGGGGGUGAUGAAAGGAAGGUAGACCUUAACCGAUGACGGCAUCGCAAUUCCACCAUUCCUUCGACUUCCCAACGAUUCUAAUCCGUUGUGCCGUUGAGCUUCUUGUCAACUCGAAUUACAGUCGAUCGUCGUUUCCCGGAAGUUGAGUCGCGCUGGUAAGCCUUGGCCGGAAAGCGAGCAAGUAAGCAAGUGAGCGGCCGAGCGAUGAUUCCAUUGUAUGCACGGUUCGAUUUACUCUGACGAUUCUUAGCGGCAUUCUCACCAUACAGGUUCCCCUUGCAGAUCGAGCACCUGGGAUUGACUUUAAGUCUGGUUUCCAAACUGUCGCAGAGAUUCUUUUACGCGAAAGAGCCAGCUGGGAAGGCCGAAAGGAAGCUUUAUUCAGAAGAAGCGAUCACAGGUUGGUUAAAUUCGAAGCGAAAACCAUGCUGAGGUCGUAGCAGCCUCGUCGACUACUUGAGGAUCCUCUUAAUGUCGCUUAGGAACGUUAACGACGCGUUGCUGACGAAUGGUCCUCUUCUUGCUCACGCACUUGCUCCGGGGAUGAUCCCAGGAGAUGCUCGCCCUAACCUAUCCUUUGGAUGUCACUCUUAGAGGGUUCAAUUCUGGAAUCUCAAGGGACAAGUGUCGGACGUAACACGUCACCCUGCGUAUAACCUGCGACGCACUUUUACACACACGUGUUCAGCCGACUGGGAGCAGCAGUGCGUUUCUAACGAAAAUUCAGGGACGCUUCGCUGGCGUCAUCCGACACCCUGGAUUCAGAAUAUGCAAGGGAACAGUAGAGAGAGGGGUGCGGAUGUGGACUCCCAGCAUCAUCCCCAUGUGUCCGACUAGCUCGUAAAACCACACAUGCCACCAUCUGUGCACGCGUUGCUCUCCUACGUUACGACUACGGAGGGUCCAUGUCGCCUGGUGGUCAUUUCUGGUACUAGGACUACAUCGGACCUAAAAUCAACUCUGCCUACUCGCUUGAUUCAGCAUUCGAUCCGGCACCGCAAGAGCAUCCUGGAGCAGGCCAAGAGACGUCAAGAAGAGAGGAGAAGCAGCGUGCGAAGCGAUCUCACUUGAGACAAUUGCUGCCGGUAACGUGACCGUUGCUGCCUCCAUCAAGCUUCAUCAGGGUGAUUAGCGAACGACGUACUCCGCGGGUCGUCCCUCUAGAUUAGCCUCCACCUCCUCCAUUCCAUCGUCCCUCUUUCCAGCAUCACCAACACCAUCACCAGCAGCAGCCACCUCCUUCUCAUCUUCUAUCGACUAUAUUGGUGAUACUGAUGCUGCUGAUACGAGCCUGGUCCUGCUAGGAAUCAUUGUACCGGAGGGAAAUCUAUUUGGGCCCCUCAAGAGGAUCACGCAACGAGUUGACCCUGUUAUACGAGCAGGGCUAGGACCUUGAAGCGUCCGAAUGCGCCUACUCUGGGCCCACUUUAUUCACUCCCAGAAAAAUCUAUAUUAAUUUUAAUGGUUAAGCUCCCUCGGCUCUUUGAGUAACAAGGGGGUGGCCACGAGGUACUGUAGCGUGUAGUGGUAUUGAUGUGGGAAAAAUCGCGGCCACGGAUUUACCUCGUGGACCAGUAAGCAUCGUUAAUGGGGUCUGUUUGAAUUAUCGUUUGUUAACAGCAUCCCCUCUUUUAAUUAAUUUUAAUUCUUUUACUUGGCCACUCUCACGAUUUUAUUCGGGUCUAGUUAUCGUACAGCUCUGUAGCUCAUGUUUAUGUCUUGUAAGAUGGAUUUUGAUUUUUUGGAUUUUCAUAUAAUUGGAAAUUAAGAGGCCGCAAGCCAAGUUUAUACGGCAUUUGGUAUACGUCGCGUUCAGGGGUGUAAUCGAGUGAAUUCUGGUGGGAGAAAAGGAAGAAAGAUGUAGUGGCUAGCAGAGGGAUAGAUUGUGGACCAGGGGGGUUCGCACAGAGGGUGAAGCACAAACUCAGCAGUUUCAAGCAUAACCGCUCUACGACCCCCCGUCAACCCCCUAAAUCUCGCCGCACCCCGAGUGCGCGCUUAGCGUAUUAGUCAUUCGUGGCGCAGCUGGGAACGGUCCCCAGGGUGCGAGUCUCCCCGUGAGCGAAUCAAUCCGGGCUUACCGGAGACUCCAGAGACACGCGGAUGUGUGGGGUACACACAUGGAUGACCCUCUGACCUAUGCGUGAACCGGUGACGGCACUUUUAUCUUUACUUUCAGUGAGGUCACACUGAGCUUUAUGCUAAUGGAAAUGUCUUUUCUACAUUUUAAGAUGACGGAGAUACGUCGACCAGGAAGUUUAAUUGAUUUUGGAGUAGUUACCAGAGGUCGAGGCUCAGUCUUCGUCGCCACUUGGAAAGCGACCUUCGACUUCAAAGGGGCCAUCGGGGAUAUCGGACAGGGGGCAGCCCUCUCCUCCUUUUGGGUUCCAGCCGGUUCUUGCCGUGGGGGUGAACGUUGUUUGUCGGAAAUGGGGUUCCUGCUAAUGCCCUGCGGCCGAAUCAGCCCUUCCUGGUAGCUGCUUUUAUCAGUCGCUGUUCCCAAGGGACGGAGAAGAGGAACGUCUGGAGCGAAGCUGCUCAAUUUUCGAGGGAAUCGAUCCUGGCUCCUCGAGGAUAGCUUGCUCGAUCCCAUCAUCCUCUAAGAACCCGGAGGAAGACACCUACGUGUUUUGCUGUUACCAAAGGGUGCGCUGCCGUCGAAAAACAUACGGAUAGGCGUGCUUUAUUCUAAGCUGCGAAAGGUCCAGCUACGUCGUCGGGUUCCUUUGUAACCUAAGCUUUGUAUAAAGGAGUCUUCACACCGGGCCAAGGCGCUCCUGCAUCCAGCCACUCUAAAUGAUGAGAUUUUACCGAGCGUGGGGAGCCGCAUUAAAGUAUUGCACCAUACUGACGAUGAUGCUUCGUGUGGCAGCACCAGCGGCAAGAGGGACGUUGACUGGACUAGCUUUAUGGUCGCGCCGAACAAUGAUACACCCUGACGCUAUUGUAGUCAAGCUAGUGAGCGAGUCGGAGAGAGAGAGAGAGAGAGAGAUCUUUAGUGGGGAGAGAGAGAGGGACAGUGAAGGAGCGUCGCACCGGUGACAGUCACUCGCUGCUGAUUACACGGACCAUUAUGCAAGCACAACGUCGACCGCGUAAAAAAAAAGCUCAGCCUCCCUUGACUUUUACUCAUUCCCCCCUUCAAGUUUACUUCUGCUCCGUUAUCCAUUCCAUCUUUUUUUUAGUCUUUCGCUGAUUUUGAAUUACUAAAUUUUGAAAAUCAUCAUUCACUAUUUACAUUGCCAUUUUCCCAUCUGCUAUUGAUCUAAUUACAGUAUUCUUUUGACUCGUGAUUCGAAACAUAAUUCGAUAGGAUUUUUUUAUAGACAGUACGAAUACACCGAUACAAUAAAUGUAAAUCGUCAACUGGGUUUUUCCAAUAAUAAUUAUCUCAACUGGUUAAUGUUAGGUUAUGGAAUCAAACGCUCAGCAAGUAUAUAAAACUGAUAUUUAUUAUCACGAAUUAAAUUAGGUACCUGACAAUAUUGCAUAUCUAUGAUAAUACCGUAUCAAUUUAAUGUCUACAGAUAAGAUUGAUACGUCACCAAGAAACGUAGAGAACUUAAAAAUUUUUCAUAGCGUCCAGAGUAAAAUCAAAUUUUUAUUAACUCACUCUGUACUGACAAUUAACGAGUUCGAUGAAAUCCGUGUAUUAGAAAUUUAUCGAUACCGUCACAUUUUCGUAUUUUUGGUUCUGCCAAAAAAAAAAUGUUCGCAACACAAUCAUUCAAGGACAUUCAAGUAGUUCCAAGAUCAGGUACCUUAUUUAUUUUCCACUCGAAUUUCUUGGAUUUUCGAUAUCUACAUCCGAUAAUAGCAGUUUGUCGUUAGGUAUCUGAUAAGGGGCGUGGGAUACCGUGACGUCACAGAUAAGAAUUAUUUAUUUCCGAAACAACAAGAAAGAUCGGUAAUAGACAUCGCACUUACGCGAUAAAAUGUAGUCGCUGUGUAUUUCGCGCGUAUCUCGAGUGUUUCGAAUAAAUCGUAUGAAAUAACGUGUAUCUACACGUACACGACAUAACUACUGUUUGCACUGAAAAGUCACCUAUAGCAAUAAUAUACUAACGAGGCAUUAGUGGAUAAUAAUAAGAAAAAAUUAAAAAAAAAAAUACAAGACACUCGUCGAAGACGGUGCUGCGUCAGAGCGUCGCGACGCAUUCACGCUUUUCACAGCCCUUUAAUUAUGUUGUUUCAGUUGGUUAUUUCACGAGAGGGGUUGGUCGGGGAGAUGAAUGUCCAUAGUAUUUUUGUUAUAUCAAUCACUGACACGAGUAUUAAUUCCAUUGACGUAAAAUUCAAUCAAUUCUUUUGACCAAUGAGUUUCAGGAGACGACGCUGAACGUCCAUGAAAGACCAUAGAGACGAAGGACAAUGGCCUUUACAUGGCUCUGCAUUCCCCUUUCGAUCGAUCAUCGAUACCCAAUUAGUCCUAGAGGCUCGUUAAUUAGUCGAUGACCGGCUAAUGAAUAAUUAAAGAACAGGAGCUCCCUCUGCGGGACGGGAGCCAACAUCCUGGAUUACUCAGAUUAGCUGGAUCACCAGAAGAGUUGGAGCAAGUCGAUACGAGAGCGAGGAAUCGAUGACUCCGCCUGAUGGGAUCUACCAAGAAGUAUAUUCCUGAGGAGUGAAGUUGGCAGAGGAAAAGUUGAGCCUGACGUCAACGUUCGGGAAUUUCCGGUUCUACUAUAUCGUCAUACUUGAUUGAAGAUGCAGGAUAGGAAGCAAAAAGGAGAAAGAGAAUUCCUGAAACUUUUUACAGUGGAAUCAUCGUCCUGAAUUUCAAGAGACUCUUGCACAGAAUCCUCGGGAUUGGAAUCCGGAGAAAAAAAAACAAAGCUUUGCCAAUCACUGGCCAAUGAAAACGAAACGCUCAUCUUCGAGCGGGAAGUGACGGCAGCAGUGACCAUCGUCAGGGAACACCGCGGAACGGCGAGGAUGCUGUGCUCCCGAGUAUCUAGCAUCCCGAGUAUGCCGAUCCACGAUUAUACGGAGUCUUUAGAAGAUGAGAACAGGUAGACGGGACGUAAAGGAGUCUGGUAUCCCUACCGGAAGCGAAGGAGACUCGAUCAGUGGAGGUUAGAAUGAGUCCUGAUCCGAAGGAAGGUUCAAGCCUUGGUCUCUCUCGCUCUCCCGAUCUCUCGCAGGGUCGCCAUGCCGCCACAUCGCCACGCGUGAUCGAGUUACCUGGAGCGGCGAACGUCGAGGCACAGGUGAGGAUAUCAAUGUACCUCAAGGAUUCCGAGUCCUCACCCAGGAUUAACGACGGCGACACGCGAACCCUUUCGACGCGAACAUCGACACCAUCGGCAGUUGCUUCAUCCUCCGGCUGCGGUUUCCCUCUCUAUGGCUAUAAUGUCGCAAGAUCCUGUACCCCUGUGAAUUCGUGCCCGAUUUUGGAAACAAGAAACACUAUACCUUCCGCCACAUCGAUUACGAGCUCUUGAGAGUACAUGGAAACAGCCAACUUCAGUGUUGGAUCGUAAAAUUCCAAACGAUUCGUUGCGAGUCUACCCGUGGUGCAGCUUGGGAAUAGGUCGAGCACGACGUCGCAAAUUGCCUGAAUUAACACUCCAGUGGGGUCGUCCGUUCGUUGCGAUGAAAAUCGUCCCUUGCCUACUCAGGAAUCCUACGGUAAUCCUUGAAUAUCCUACUUCUCACUGAGUCAAGAGGUUCCUCUCUGGAAUGCGCUCAUUUUAUGAGGGAUGAAGUGGAUCCGCAGUACUUCUGAAGUCUCUCACUGGAUACUGAUUGCGGGAGAAGAUCUCUUGGUGCGGUCAAAACAUCAGCAGCCUGGCUAGAUUGAUACAAACUGAGUCGAAAUGAUCUCAAUUAGACAUUCGGCCGUCGCAAACCGACGACAAUUUAGUCGCUACACUUACACUGAACGUCUCAGGGAGCAGGAACUUCGGGACGCCGUCACGUAACAAGAGUUAGAGGUUGAGCUUGUCUAAUUAAGCAGCGAGCGUAGUUAAUCCCGGAAAUGGCAAGUUUUCAGGUUAAUCCCUAAAGACUGGUCAAUUUCCGGAGGAUCCCAGGCGCUCCUAACUUCCGGGAAGGUAUUAGGACCCCAGGAGUUUAUAUUACUUUCUACCAGGACACAGGAAGGUUACCAUAUUAAUCAAAAUCAAACAUCAACUGUUUCACAAAAUGGCAUCCAGAGCUUAUACUUUGCCUUUUGAAGAUCCUACACUUCCGGAAAGAAACGGCACUCGUUCAACGGCAAAGAUGACGCCGAUGGCGUUCACCGCAUGGUUUCGGCUUAGUCGAGUUUGGGAAGUAUCAAUGACGUAUCGAAUGACGUAUUGAAUGACGCAUGUACCUGGAACCGAUGAGAUCUAAAAUGUCAAGAUAUCUCUACUAAAUCAUGAGGCAGGACAAAGGUCUCAAAGCUGGAGGAACUUGUCCAGCGAUGGAAUGAGGAAUAAGGAAUGAGGAAGGAAGAAGGUUAGCUGAAGGAUUGAAGAAGGAAGCGCGAUCCAGCAUGGGCGUCAUUUUUCACUAUUAAGUUAAUCCGUUGUCGGAAGAGGGGGCCCACGCCCUGCUGAGAUUAC